AUUGAUUAUUAAUCCUCUCGUCUUUGCUUCUCUUAAAAGGGUUAAAAGUGUCUCUUCUAGUAUUUUUUUUUAUCUCGUGCUACCAGUCCCAGGUCAUCUGCAUAUCCUAUCCUAUCCUAUGAUCUGUGCCGAGUUUUGAAUAAUUGUCUUUUUCAGCCCUGUGUUCCUGUUUACUCCUUCGAGAGCGAUAUUAAAUAGUGUCGUUGACAGACGACAGGCAUAAUGUGGGAUAUCAAGCUAAAAAGUCAAGUGUUCUUUCUGAAGCAGACAUCGAUACAUUUUUAAACAAUGCCCCGAUAGAAUAUCUUCCUCAAAAGGUUGCUUUAAUUAUUGGCAUUUCCGGAGCCUGUAGGUGCGAUGAACUUUUAAAAAUGAAAAUAAGUGACCUGGAUAUUUUAGAAAAUCGAAUUAUAAUAGUGAUUCCUGUCACAAAAACCUACUCUUCCCGUACAUUUGUAAUUACAAAAUCGGAAUGGAUAAAAAUAAUAAA
rnacentral:lncRNA from 1 species